ACGUGAAUAUAUGGAAACAAAAAAUAUAUAUGCAAAUCAUGAUGUCGUAACCUUUGCAAAUGGAACCAUCAUGUCCUUCGACCAGUACGUUGAUAUUGUCUUGAAGGAGCGUCUGUUUAAGGAAGGA
rnacentral:sRNA from 12 species